UUUAUUUGUUGAUGUUUAAGCAUAAAAAGUUUUGAUCUUUUAAGGAAUGGUGUAAAUCCAUUACAAAUAA
rnacentral:tRNA from 1 species